AACAUCUAGCAGUGUGCAUGAAGAUGUCACCCUGUUGUAUAUGAAAACGAAGGUGAUAUCCAAGAUCAGAGGCAAGUGCAAGAGAAGCUGGAAGAGUCUUCUUCCAGCUUUGAUAUCGAUCAGGCCAUUCUACGUCUAGUUAACAAAGAACAAGAUGAUGCUGAAAUAUUUGCCCAAUCGCUUGUGCAGACAUUUAGACGAUUGCCAAAUAAAAAAUUUCAGCAGGCAAAGAUUGAAAUUCAAGAAGUUUUGUUUCAUCUAGAAUUUAAUACAGAUUAGAUACAUG